UAGGAUGCAGAACACAUUGAACAUCGACAUCUUGAACGCACAUGGCGGCCUCGGGUCCGUCCCGAGGCCACGCCCGUCUGAGGGUCGGCAAGUGAGAUACGUAAUCGCUUCCUUUCGUGGCAUAAGGCUCCCGCUCGGAAGGCAUCCGUCUUUUUGUUGAACCUUUCUGGCUCUGAGAAAGGAAGACGAGGCGGCAGCCAGGCCGGGUCAAGGGCCGUGGAGGCGCCUUGGGUUUUCGCGGAUCUCUGUGUGAUCCUCGUGGCUCUAAGUGCACGCUGCGCUGUCCGUCCAUCCCACUCGUAGGUCGUGCUCGGAACAGCUCUGACACACAGCUCUAUGUGUUUUCCGGACGAGCGAGCGAGUGGGUAGCAAUUUCUCGUCUCUUUAACGACGCCGCCGCCGACGUGCUGGACUCGGAUUGAUCGGAUAUCAUCGAGCCGCCGGCGAGCAGGAGGUGUCGGGACAGUGAGGGUGGGAAAUGUGUGGCGGCGCCCAGUCCAGACAAGUCGGACCAAGCACGGGGGCACCGUGCCUGGUAACACUAGCAUAUCCGACCUCAGAUCGGACGAGAUUACCCGCUGAAUUUAAGCAUAUAACUAAGCGGAGGAAAAGAAACUAACAAGGAUUCCCUCAGUAACGGCGAGUGAAGCGGGAAUAGCCCAGCACCGAAUCCCUCAGUGUCAUGCUGACGGGAACUGUGGUGUGUGGGACGCCACCAGUCGCAUCAGAGGGCGCCGAAGUCCUCCUGAUCGGGGCUUCACCCAGAGCGGGUGUAAGGCCUUUGCAGGUGCCUCUCUGUGCGGCCGCGAGCGUCUCAGGAGUCGGGUUGUUUGGGAAUGCAGCCCAAAGCGGGUGGUAAACUCCAUCUAAGGCUAAAUACUGGCACGAGUCCGAUAGCGGACAAUACGGGGGGGGAAGAGAGAGAGGUA
rnacentral:rRNA from 1 species